AUUGAACGCUGGCGGCAGGCCUAACACAUGCAAGUCGAACGGUAACAGGAAGAAGCUUGGUUCUUUGCUGACGAGUGGCGGACGGGUGAGUAAUGUCUGGGAAACUGCCUGAUGGAGGGGGAUAACUACUGGAAACGGUAGCUAAUACCGCAUAACGUCGCAAGACCAAAGAGGGGGACCUUCGGGCCUCUUGCCAUCGGAUGUGCCCAGAUGGGAUUAGCUAGUAGGUGGGGUAACGGCUCACCUAGGCGACGAUCCCUAGCUGGUCUGAGAGGAUGACCAGCCACACUGGAACUGAGACACGGUCCAGACUCCUACGGGAGGCAGCAGUGGGGAAUAUUGCACAAUGGGCGCAAGCCUGAUGCAGCCAUGCCGCGUGUAUGAAGAAGGCCUUCGGGUUGUAAAGUACUUUCAGCGGGGAGGAAGGGAGUAAAGUUAAUACCUUUGCUCAUUGACGUUACCCGCAGAAGAAGCACCGGCUAACUCCGUG
rnacentral:rRNA from 1 species